UGUUAAAAGGGAAGCGCUUGUGACCAGACUUGCGUCCGGUGAAUCACCCAGCUCUCGCGGCUGGGGCACUUCGCCGGCUCAGGCCAGCAUCAGCUCGCUGUCGGGGACAAAAGCUUCAGGAACGUAGCUCUCUUCGGGGAGUGUUAUAGCCUGUUGCAUAAUACCCUUCGGCGGGCUGAGGUACGCGCUCCGCAAGGAUGCUGGCAUAAUGGUCAUCAGCGACCCGUCUUGAAACACGGACCAAGGAGUCAACCUUAUGUGCGAGUGUUCGGGUGUCAAACCCCUACGCGUAAUGAAAGUGAACGCAGGUGAGAGCUUCGGCGCA
rnacentral:rRNA from 1 species